rnacentral:misc_RNA from 1 species
AACAACAUCUCCAAAGCUUCAACAGUAUACCCAAAAGCUUUCAGAGGUGCUAGUAAACCAUGAAUGCCCACGUUCUCCAUGUUGUCAUCAUCAUUAGAUGUAGGAACAACUCCAGCUAUAGAAGGAAUAGUCUUAUCAGUUUCUGGAACGGAGCCAACAAUGUCCUUCAAUUCAAUCUUUUGCCUUUUCAGCCACUCCCCAUAGGGCCUUGCUAGGGAGUACUGCUGCUUUAAGGCUUCAUCAUCUACAACCAUAUGCUUCUCAAAAUCAACCAGAAGCAUCAUUCCAGGGUUAAGUCUUCCUUUCCUAAGGACAUCUUCAGGCGGAAUGUCUACAACACCAACUUCACUAGCCAUAAUGACCCGUCCACUCUGUGUAACAUAAAACCUACCUGGCCGCAGUCCAUUACGAUCCAGUGUAGCUCCAAGGUACCGGCCAUCCGUAAAUGAAAUAAGUGCAGGCCCAUCCCAAGGCUCCAUGAGGGCUGAGAAGUAUUCAUAUAAGGCUUUCCGAUGAGGAUCCAUAUUCUUAUCAUU